GAUGAACGCUAGCUACAGGCUUAACACAUGCAAGUCGAGGGGUAACGAGAGGAAAGCUUGCUUUCCUUGUCGACGACCGGCGCACGGGUGAGUAACGCGUAUCCAACCUGCCCCCAACUAGGGAAUAACCUUGCGAAAGUAAGACUAAUACCCUAUAGUUUCCUCAGAUGUCAUCUGACGAGGAAUAAAGAUUUAUCGGUUGUGGAUGGGGAUGCGUCUGAUUAGCUUGUUGGCGGGGUAACGGCCCACCAAGGCAACGAUCAGUAGGGGUUCUGAGAGGAAGGUCCCCCACAUUGGAACUGAGACACGGUCCAAACUCCUACGGGAGGCAGCAGUGAGGAAUAUUGGUCAAUGGGCGGAAGCCUGAACCAGCCAAGUAGCGUGCAGGAUGACGGCCCUAUGGGCUGUAAACUGCUUUUAUACAGGAAUAAAGUUAGCCACGUGUGGUUAUUUGUAGGUACUGUAUGAAUAAGGACCGGCUAAUUCCGUGCCAGCAGCCGCGGUAA
rnacentral:rRNA from 1 species